GACGAACGCUGGCGGCGCGCCUAACACAUGCAAGUCGAGCGAGAACCAGAGCUUCGGUUCUGGGGAAAGCGGCGAACGGGUGAGUAACACGUGGGUAAUCUGCCCUCGGCGCCGGGAUAGCCCGGGGAAACCCGGAUUAAUACCGGAUGGCCUUUCGCGCUCUCGGGCGCGAAAGAAAAGGUGGCUUCGGCUUCUGGCCGAGGAUGAGCCCGCGGCCGAUUAGCUUGUUGGUGAGGUAAUGGCNCACCAAGGCUCCGAUCGGUAGCUGGUCUGAGAGGACGAUCAGCCACACUGGGACUGAGACACGGCCCAGACUCCUACGGGAGGCAGCAGUGGGGAAUCUUGCGCAAUGGGCGAAAGCCUGACGCAGCGACGCCGCGUGUGGGAUGAAGGUCUUGGAUUGUAAACCACUGUCGGGAGGGACGAAGCUCUGACGGUA
rnacentral:rRNA from 1 species